GCCAGGCGUGGUGGUGCAUGUCUGUGAUCCCAGCUACCUGGGAGGCUGAGGCAGAAGAACCACUUGAAUCCAGGAGGCGGAGGUUGCAGUGAGCCGAGAUCACACUAGUGUGAUCUCGGCUCACUGCAACCUCCGCCUCCUGGAUUCAAGUGGUUCUUCUGCCUC
rnacentral:SRP_RNA from 1 species